UUCUCGACUUUCCUUUUUUUCCCCUAAGGAAAAGUGGCGUAGAGAAUGUGAUUAUGCCCCCAAGUGGUUGAUGGUAAGUAAGCUAUGCAUCAAAAGAUUAUUCUACUACAAAUUUAAUGCAUCUUGCUUUGUACUUGUCCUUUUCUUGGGGAGGUCUUAAGGAAUGGAACUCCACUCUAUGGUGAUCAACGCUGGACAUUGGAGAGUCGAUUCAAAAGGGUCCAUCACAUCUUCAGGCAUCCACAGAUUCUUCGUCAUUGCUCACCAUGGAACUUCCUUUGCUCAGGAACCCACAUCUUUCAAGUUGCAUCCUGGUGGGGUCAAUAUCAACACUCGAGGCUUCCAUUAAUGGAGAGGUUCCUAGAAGUUUGCUUGGUGAAGCUGAGGAUGAGGAAUGAAUGACAAGCAUAACUUUUUUAACCAAAAGUGGAAUAUCCCUCCCCAUCCAUGUACCCACUUCCCUAAUAUAGUGGUAGGUCGUUCAUGGUGGCCCUUCUUCUUUGGCUCUAUAAUCUUGGAAGCAACAAGCGUUAUCGUUCCUUUUUCUGGCCAGGUUGGUUUCCUUGGAUUUGUUCCGGCGUGAUUGAUCAAAAGAUGGAGAGACGACGACUCUCCCAUUGCUUCCCCCACUUUUUUCUUAAGAAAAGACAAGAUCAGGAGAUGGUUGUGGAAAAAAGGACCAGUUGAAAAAAAUGGAAAGGGACUUGACGUUGGUGUUUCUGCUGGUAA